AGGAUACAUAAUAGCCCCCACAGUCACCAUUGUAGCUCAGGGCGACUGGACUGGACUCUACAGCACUGCUUCCCUUUGCCAGGCGCCCACUGCAGACUCAAACCUGAUCCAGCAAACGCAAGGUCAAGGAAACACAUGGAUCCCGCCCAGUAGCCUUAUGGCCCAAUGGCUGUCUGCAGAUGGUGGAGAGCUAUGCCUCCCCUGUGACUCACCUACAGGAGUUUGCCAGAGGCUCCAAAUGGCAUCCCCAUCUGCCACUGACACCCCAAGUACCAUCAAGUCUGCUGGAUUUCGUGGUCCAAGUGGUAGAGCAGCCUGGACCUGCUGAAGAGCCUUCUCCUGUUCCAGGCCCCACAUAAAGCUAGCAGCGUUCUGAGUCACUCAGUAUAGGGGCUGGCAUAGCACACCCAAGUGAGGAAUGUGCUGUCUCCAGGAUCCAAAUUGACCCACUGAACAUUAUGCUUCUCUCUUGGUAGUAGAAGAGGCCAAAUUU
rnacentral:lncRNA from 1 species